AGCAAGAUUCGGUGGGAUGAUCAUGUCAUUAGAUUCAUAAUUCAAUUUGAACAAUUAAAAAUUGGAAAAAAAAAAAACUUUAAGUGAUAUAUAUUCAGGGUCAGCUUACGCAUUUCUGCAUUAUUAUUAUAAUCAUCUUGGAAGAAAAGGGGAGUGGAGCUGUAGUGAGUAGUAGUGACGGCAUAAAGACUCAUGAGUCGCAUCACGCUAUUAAUAAUUUCCCACAGGGUUUACUACGAAACUAUGAACAAGUCCACCAUUUUGGAACACUGUGAUGACGGGAAAAAGAAAGCGGGGACGACCAAUUAUUAUUGUCAAAGACACAGGGAAAUAGCAUGUUAACAAACUAUACAAUAAGUUUUCAUACCACACUAAAAAAAAAAAAACUAGAACUAUUUGGUAAGGACUAUGAUUAUUCUAGAAAUUUUGUUUAUCCCUAGUUAUGAUGAUAGAAAAUUGGAGAGAAAAGUAGUAUAGUAUAGUAUAGUAGGGCGUAGUUCAAAAUUACAUGCCCCGGUAGAAGCAGGGAACACCCACUAUUGAAAAAACAAAACAGCAGCAGCAGCAUGGUGGCGAAAUAUUACAGAGAAAACUAGGGGGGAGAUUAGAGAAGGGUACGGAUAUAUGUACAUAUAUAUUUUUGUAGUUAAUUAAGGGCAUGAGAGAGAGAGAGAGAGGGGAAGGGUUAUUUGGUGUUAUUAUUAGGUUGUUGCAAGUUGGGAUCCAGAAGGUGCGGUUGCAACAAGUUGUUUGUUUGAUGCCACAGCACANNNN
rnacentral:lncRNA from 1 species